GUGUUUGCUUUGGCAGCACAUACACUAAAAUUGUAAUGGUACAGAGAAGAUAAACAUGGCCUCUGUGCAAGGAUGACAAACAUAUUCGUGAAGUGUUCUAUAUUUAA